rnacentral:lncRNA from 1 species
AGCAUGAGAAACAUGUAUCCUUAAAAACAAAUAGAAAAAAAAAGCCCACCCUUUUUGUUUCAUCUUGUUCCUUUCUCUAAGCCUGUGUUUUAAAGAGAUAGCUUACAUCCAUGGUAAAACUCGUGUCUUAAAAGUUCUUGGCUGCCUUUCUUUUGGAUCUUAGUGUAUUCCAGAAUCUUUUCAGCAGUACGAAAGUUUUUUUUCUACUUCUAAAACCUUACCUUGAAAAUUUUUUUGGUUCAAGAGACAAGGCUUCUGUAAACUGGGUAUGUGUGUAUGUGUGAUUUUUCUUUAGAAGCCGGCCCCCCCCCCAUGUAGUCUCUUCCUUUAGAAAUUAAUUCUUUGAGUGACUGUGGAGCAUAUAGUGUCCUGCACACUUCAGCCUUUUCCUAUAAGCUAUCUUAGAGCUUGUGGUUGUGUCAUUCUGCCAGUUUCUUAAAUAGUUAAUACAUCUUAGACAUUUAAACAGCUUCAUUGAGGUACAGUUGAUAUACGAUAAAUGUCACACAUUUAAAAUGUACAGUUGGAUAAAUUUUGACAUGUAGGUACACGUGAAACCAUUGUCCCAGUGAAGGUAGCGACCCUGCCCAUCACCCAAAUUUAAAAGGUAUAUACAAGUUCUUACUGUAGUGUGGUGGGUUAAGGAUCUGGCAUUGUCUCUGUGGUGGAGCAGGUUUGAUCCCUGGCCUGGGAACUUUCACAUGCCGAGGGUGCAGCCAAAAAAGAAAAAGGUAAUAUAAGCAUGUCAACAAAAAUUUAGAACGUAGGGGAGAAAGGAAAGUCACUCAUAAAUCCUAACACUAAAUUUGCAUGACCUUUGAUGUCUCUUUCCAUUUAGCACAGCAUCAGUAACACUUUCCCCGGUUGUUACCUGGUCUUAGUAGUAGUUAGAGUUCUUUUUUUAGAGUUGACAAAAUGACAUGGUUAAACACCCUCUUGAUAUGUUUGAUCUGAUCCUACACAGAAUGUCUCAUGUUGGGGGCAGAAACAGAUUUGCAGCUUUUUUUUUUUUUACACUUUGUAAAAUAUGGAAGUUCCCAGGCUAGCUGUAGCUGCUGGCCUCCGCCAACUCAUCGAGUGAGGCCAGGGAUCAAACUCAUCCUCAUGGAGACUAGUUGGGUUCAUAACCCUCUGAGCCACAAAGGAAUUCCUCAGCCGCUUUUAAAGUAGAGAUAGGAAGACGGAAGCAAGGAGGGAAGAAAAGAGAACGAGUGGUUCUGAAAGGUCCCCUCUCUUCCAAAGCAUGUCUUCUUGUCUCCAGGGGCUGUGAGAGGGACAGGUAUGAUGCAGAGAGCUUGCGUGUUUUUAUUGGACUGAAGCCGUGGGCUGAGGCAAGUGGUAAAUGAGGCUGCCUGCUCGGGAUGCAUUCAGUUGCUAAAGGCUCUUGUGGGAAGAACUCCAAUUUGAAAUACUUAAUUGAGGGAAAACCAGUGAAGAAUUUGCCAGGUGGAAUGACAGGCGCCUCAUGUGCAGCUGUAAAAUAAUCUUAAUGGUUGAUUAGGAGGUAGAUUGGUUUGUUCACACACAUUUCUUUUUUCCCCCAGCUUUAUGACUAUAAAAUUGUUGACAUAUAAAUAUGUAAGUUUAAGGUAAUACAUGUAUGUAUUAUGAAACAAAUACCAAUAAGGUUAGUUAACACCUCUAGCCCCUCACAUAAUUAAUUUUUUUGUGUAUCAUGAGAGUAUUUAAUAUCUACUCUCUUAACUUUCCAGUAUAGUUGACUUUUAAACAAUGUGAGCUUGAAUUUUGACGGUCCGCUUAUAUACAGAUACUUCCAAAAAACAAUACUCCAGUACUACUUGGUCCAUGGUUGGUUGAAUCAGUGGAGGAACCAUGGAUGCAGAGGGCCAGCUCUAGCUUAUAUUUGGCUUAACCCUCACGUUGUUCAAGGGUCAGCUCUGUAUAAAAUAUAAUACUGUUCAUUAAAGUCGCUACACUGUACAUCAGAUCCCCAGAAUUUAUUCCUCUUAUCACUGGAAGUUUGCACCCUUUGGCCAACAGCUCCCCACUCCCAGCCCCUGGCGCCCAGUAAUCUGUUCUCUCUUUGGGGAAUUCGGCUUUUUUAGAUUCCGCAUAGAUGAACCUCCAGUAUCUGUCUUUCUCUGACGUACUCACUUAGCAUAAUGCCAAGAGGUAGGUUUAAAGAGAGAAUUCUCAUGGCUAUCCUGGGUGGGUCAGGAGGGUGAUUAUGGUACCGAAGCAAACUUGCUGGUCCUACUUGCUGUGCAGCAAAGCCAGUCUGCUGACACCAGGUUGCAGUGAAGGAAAAGGCAGCAUUUGCUGAAAGGUGCUGUACAAGUCGCCUGGAGCCUCUAGUGCUGAAAGACCCGAACAGGGAAAGCCUUGUUAAAGGCAGAGGCCAGGGAAAGCCUUGUUAAAGGCAGAGGCCGGGGGCUGGGGGGCGCAGGGUGUGUGAUCAGCUCUGCACAGUUAUCUGAUUGGUUGCUGGUGAGGUCAUGGCACUGUCACAGGGGUUGACAGUAUUCAUCCUCAGGCUCCAGGAGGCCUGGGGGCUGUGCGCUCCUGCUGAUAAGUAGUUACUGUUCUCCAUUUGGCGGGGUUUUCAGCAUCUCUCAUCCAACUCAGGAAAUGUGCAUCAGAUAUUAUCUAGGUCCUUCAGAGAGGAGCUUCGGCAGAGGAUGUGGGGGAGGGGGCUGUCCCGGGAAGGCCCCAUCGGGUCCUGCUCAGUUAUAGCAAGUAGAAUGGGAGUGUUUGCUGGGACAACUUUAGAUUCCUGGUGGGAAUGUGAAGAAAUGUUUCCGAAGAUUUUUUUGUGACUGAAGUAGCAUUGAUACAGUUGUGACUCCAGGGAGGGAGAUAAGGAGGGCCAGGGUAGUCAGCGUGCUGGAAUUUGGUAACAGGCAGGAUUGUCACUCCUCAAAAGGAGAUUUUAGGUUGAAAAAGUUGAAAUCAGGCAAGGGUUUUCUGGAGAAGAUUUGUUUUAAUUCAGGACACAUUUUAUUGUUUGAUAGUACAAAGACUCUGCAAAGAGGUGGAUUCCUACAGAUUAAAAAGGAUUGUCUGUACCGUUAAGGAGCUUAUGGUCUGUUGAUUUGAACUGAAUGUAUUUUCAGAAAAUCAGAUAGGGCUGAUAGAAGUGUUGGGCAGAGGUCGAGGUUCUGGACUUGGUCACUAUGUGGAAACAGGAAUGAACCAUGGGAAGUGGUGGGCUUUUAAUAGAGGCCUGGGGCCUUUUCUGGUGAUUGAGAGGGGAAACCAGUAGGGUCAUAUUGGAAAAGCUUUCAGAGGUACCAGGUCACAUCACUGCUUACUUUCAGAUAGUCUCGGCUUUUGAAAUCAGUUGUUUGGUAGGAAUUUAGCACUCGUCCUUCUGUGGAAAUUAUGUUAUAAUGAGGGCUGAUGAGUUCUUCGGUCUUCAGGCCAUUUAAUGCAUCUUGUCUUUGAAGUAUGUAUUACACUCGUAGGUCAAAAACCAUCAGAUCUUGGCAGUUGAAUAUGAUUCAGUCCAGUACAUUGCAUUAUCGACGGAUGUUUUUGAUGUCUCUAAUGUGUUUCAUAGACACCGAGACUCCAAAAUUGACCUGAUAGACAUGUCUUAAAACAUCUGUCUGGAACCAUCCUUUCAGAGUCUCAGACCCCUGAGUUGAAGAUUCUGCGCUUCCCUUGAUGUUGCUCCCUCACCCUCUGGGAACAGGGUUUCUCCCUGGUCUUGGUGCAUCCUUCUGAUGGGGCUUCUCUCCGAUAGUAUCCUCUCUUUCUCUGUCCCCCAAAUAAGACUAGAGAGUGGGAAGGGAAGAGGGUAACAGGGGAGAGUUUUAGGGUAGUGGUCUUUCAAACUGUGGAUUUUUUUUUUUUUUUUUUUUGGCUUUGCUUUUUAAGGCCGUACUUGUGGUAUCUGGAGGUUCUCAGGCUAGGGGUUGACCCAAAGCUGUAGCUGCCAGCCUGUGCCACAGCCACAGCCAUAGCAAUGCAGGAUCUAAGCCACAUCUGUGACCUACACCACAGCUCUUGGGAACACCAGAUCCUUAACCCACUAAGCAAGGCCAGGGAUUGAAAAUGCGUCCUCAUGGAUACUAAUUAUGUUCAUUACUGCUGAGCCACAAUGGGAACUCUGAAAGUCUUUUUUUUUGGAGGGGGGGUGUUUUUUAAUCUUUUUUUUUGCCAUUUCUUGGGCCGCUCCCGUGGCAUAUGGAGGUUCCCAGGCUAGGGGUCGAAUCAGAGCUGUAGCCACUGGCCUAUGCCAGAGCCGUAGCAACACGGGAUCCGAGCCACAUCUGCAACCUACACCACAGCUCACAGCAACGCCAGAUCCUUAACCCACUGAGCGAGGCCAGGGAUUGAAUCCGCAACCUCAUGGUUCCUAGUCGGAUUCGCUAACCACUGAGCCAUGAGGGGAACUCUUGAAGGUCUUUCUUUUAAAGGGGCUGCCUAGUAGUUGCUGGUAUAAAGGCAGUAAAAACAAGAAAACCUAAGGCACCAAGAUGUCUUUUUUCCUUUUUCAUUUUAGUGUUGUAAGUAGAAUGUAAAACUUCCUAAAUUGAGUUUCGUACAGGAAUCAUCAAGAAUUCAUCUGUGAUUCAGAGGGAAAUGAUAGACUUGUGAGUUAGUCGGCACUCAGUAAAUAUUUGUGGACUGGGCGAUUGAAUGGAGAGUCUGAGCACUUGUCUAGGAUCAUUGAACUACUUACUAGUAAAUGAUGACUUGCAGGGGCACAGAGGCGGUUAUCUUUCCCUUCCUUUUAGGCUGCUCUUCUGGAAAGAGCGAUAAAGAGAAAGGAAUCCUAGAUACGGCCUCUGGUUGAUUUAAAGCAGCCCUGGGGCUAGCUCUGUUAUCUGGAUGACCAUCCUUUUUAAAGAGAGAUGGAUAAGCCAUUCAUCCAAAGAGCUGCUCGUGGCUUCAGUUUGUAGGGAUAUUGGCCCAUGGUUCACUUUUUCUUUCUCCCCAGUUAUUGGAGAAGUUGAUUGUUAGGAAGGCUGCUUGCUUUCGUGGACUUGGCGUUUUCCUCCAGGGGGAUGUAUGGGUGAGGAUGGAGGGACUGCUUUGGCAAGGGCAACAGCUGCUGCCCAGUCUCUUUGGGGAUUAGGUGCAAGUUGGUGUGUAGUUGAAUUCUGCCUCCUGAGUGCCUGAAAUUAUGUUCCUUUGCCUUGAGGGUAAAUGUUUUUCUGCCCACUCCAGUUACAUUCAUUUAGUUCUGGCUGAUAAUGUAUCUGAUAACCUUUCUUUUGAAGGCAGCUUCCUUGCUGAGUGUUUGACAGCUACUUACUAGGAGGGAAUUAAAAAUGUUGCUUCUGUCUUCCCUUAGUUUUUGGUAUUUAAUCACAAGUUGGUGGUAGCAGAACUUUUUUUUUUUUUCCCUAAUGCCCACAUUUUAUUUAUUUUUUAAUUAAAUUCAAUGAAUUUUACUGCAUUUACAGUUGUACAGUGAUUAUCACAACCCAUUUUUAUAGCAUAUCCCAAACCCCUAGCCCAUCCCUCCAUCCCGGCCUGUCUUCUUUGGAAACCAUUAAGUUUUUCAAAGUCUGUGAGUCAGUAUAUGUUCUGCAAAGAAGUUCAUUGUGUCCUUUUUUAGAUUCCACAUGUAAGUGUCGGCAUAUGACAUUUGUGUCUCACUGUCUGACUAAUAACUCCACUUAGCAUGAUAAUUUCUAGGUUGCUGCAGAUACCAUUAUUUCUUUCCUUUUAAUGGCUGAGUAGUAUUCCAUUGUGUAUAUGUACCAUAUCUUCUUUAUCCACUCUUCAGUGAUGGACAUUUAGAUUGCUCCCAUGUCUUGCCUGUUGUAGAUAGUGCUGCAAUGAACCUUGGAGUAUAUGUAUUUUUUUAAGUCAUGGUAUUCUCUAGGAUAGAUGCCCAGGAGUGGAAUUGCUGGAUCAAAUGGUAAUUCUAUGUUUAGUUUUCUGAGGAAUCUCCAUACUGUUUUCCACAGUGGUGCAGGACGUUUAAAUGAAAACAUUAGCUGUUUAUUACCUAACCAUUUUGGUAAUGGUAGAGACUUAAGAUGUGUUUUGACCUUUUGGAUAUCAGCAUUGGACAAGAUUUUAUACAUAUUUUGUGUUGGAAUUUAAAUUCUAAUAACCUUUAGAAGCAUUAGUAGUAGGAUUUACUUAGCUGGUUGAAUCCUAAGCUUGCUAGUGGGUUGGGGUUGCAUACAUGCGUCAUAUUUCUUUUUUUCUUUUCUUUUCUUUUCUUUUUUUUUUUUUGGUCUUUUUGCCUUUUCUAGGGCCGCUCCCGUGGCAUAUGGAGAUUCCCAGGCUA